rnacentral:rRNA from 1 species
AUACUUCUUCGGACAAUAUACAAGGUGCUGCAUGGUUGUCGUCAGCUCGUGCCGUGAGGUGUCGGUUAAGUCCCAUAACGAGCGCAACCCCUAUCAUUAGUUGCCAUCAGGUCAAGCUGGGGACUCUAAUGAAACUGCCUACGCAAGUAGUGAGGAAGGUGGGGAUGACGUCAAAUCAGCACGGCCCUUACGUCCAGGGCUACACACGUGCUACAAUGGUCGGUACAAAGGGUUGCCAAGCCGCGAGGUGGAGCUAAUCCCAUAAAACCGAUCGUAGUCCGGAUCGCAGUCUGCAACUCGACUGCGUGAAGUCGGAAUCGCUAGUAAUCGUGAAUCAGAAUGUCACGGUGAAUACGUUCCCGGGCCUU